ACGUGUAGAUAAGCUGAUUUUCUCUAGCCCAGAAAAGGGCUUUACUCUCUCCUCAGCAGGAGGAUGAACUCCUGCAGCUUUGGGACUGACCAGAAACUGAUAAGUCCCUUCCCCUCAGUUACUCAAAUCACACUGAGGAUGGCAUUAGCGAUGAGAGCCCUCUUGUGAAGCAGGAGAGGGACGCGGGUGGCUCUCUGGACCUGGAGGGAGAAGAAGAAGCUCUCAGAACAUGGCCUAAAUACACAACAUCUCACUUGGAGAGAGGGGGAGCUCUGAGCAGGGAAGGGGCUGAGGAGAGAGGCCUCAGCCUAAGAGACUGAAGAAUCCCUGAUGGGUAGGACUUUGCUUUCAGAGUGUUUGUCUCAGAGGUGCAUGGGCAACCACCGAGUAUCUGACCUAGAGCACCAGGGUCUGUUCUGGAGCCUCACAAAAUGAAAGAAAGAAGACUGCAAAAUGUUACAUGCAGACAUUCUUCUUUGCUACAGCGACUUCCAUUUAUGCACAAAACAUCAGUUCUGAAAGUUUAAAAUAUUGCCACGCAUUUUUCAGAUGUUUAGCAAAUAACAAACACAUAAGAAAGUGUUACAUGAAGGAGGAAACAGUGGGCUAAAUUAGUUGCAGCAAUUAGAGUUCAGGCCAAGAAAUCAGAGUUAUAGUUCUUCAAGACAGAUUUCCAAAAGAAGAACUGAUAGAAUGAAAAGCAGACACUAUUGAGCAGAUAUUGCAGAGACAGAGCUGAUUAAAGAAGUGGCGAUAAAGCAGGUCCCAGGUGGAUACCGGCGAAGUGGGUCCGGCCUUGGCUGCGUCCGCGAACACAGCAACAGACAGACACUGACGAGCCACGCGUGGCAUGUCCCGGCAACCCUGAACCAGAGCCCCCUGAGGACGACUGCCCGCCGGCUAUCCUGGGACCUUUGGCUGUUUUGUUUGAUUCCGUUUGAUUGCCUUUAUUGAUAUGAGCUUGAUGAUAAGAUUACUGGUUUUAUGGAUGGGGUUUGGGCCCUAUGCCCCUGUUGUGGGUGUACCUUUUGUUAAUCCCCGACAAAAUGUCUGGGUCACUUGGGCCCACCAAACAGGUCAAGAUGCAUUUUGCCUCUCGCUGGCUACGCCCUCUGAUCCAUUUCGGACGUGCUUAGUGGGUUAUCCUUAUUUGCGUUUGAGUGAUUUUACCCGUUAUGUACGUAAUGCCACCUUUUUAAA